rnacentral:rRNA from 1 species
UACGUAGGGAGCGAGCGUUGUCCGGAAUCAUUGGGCGUAAAGCGCGCGUAGGCGGCCCUGUAAGUCCGUUGUGAAAGUCAAAGGCUCAACCUUUGAAAGCCGAUGGAUACUGCAGGGCUAGAGUCCGGAAGAGGCGAGUGGAAUUCCUGGUGUAGCGGUGGAAUGCGCAGAUAUCAGGAGGAACACCAAUAGCGAAGGCAGCUCGCUGGGACGGUACUGACGCUAAGGCGCGAAAGCGUGGGGAGCGAACAGG